GAUGAACGCUAGCUGCAUGCCUAAUACAUGCAAGUCGAGCGGAAAGACCAUCGGAUUCUUCCUCUUACUUUGGCUGCGGACGGGUGCGUAACACGAAGAUAUCCUCCCUAUACGCAUCAGAUAACUUCAAGCUACCGGAGCUAAUACCAGUACAUAUUUUCAACCGACUGGGACAUUUGUAUAGGACGAUUUUUCUAUCGCUUAUAGAUGGAUCCGCGCCGCAUUAGCUAGUUGGUAAGGUAACGGCUUACCAAGGCAACGAUGCGUAGCCGAUCUGAGAGGGGGAUCGGCCACACUGGAACUGAAACACGGUACAGACUACUACGGGAGGGAGCAGUAGGGAAACUUCCGCUAGGGGCGGAAGCUUGACGGAGACACGCCGCGUGAGUGAUGAAGGUCUUCGGAUCGUAAUACUCUGUUAUUAGGGAAGAACAAAUGUGUAAGUAACUAUGCACGUCUUGACGGUACCUAAUCAGAAAGCCACGGCUAACUACGUG
rnacentral:rRNA from 1 species